rnacentral:rRNA from 1 species
GACAGAGGUGCCGAGCGUUAGGCGGAAUCACUGGGCUUAAAGCGUGUGUAGGCGGACCGUUAAGUACCUUGUGAAAUCCCCCGGCUCAACCGGGGAACGGCUGGGUAUACUGGCGGUCUUGAGCCAUCCAGGGGCAGUCGGAACAGACGGUGGAGCGGUGAAAUGCGUAGAUAUCGCUUGGAACGCCAAAGGUGAAAACAGGUUGCUGGGGUUGUGCCGACGCUGAGACACGAAAGCCAGGGGAGCAAACGGG